rnacentral:rRNA from 1 species
AUUGAACGCUGGCGGCAGGCCUAACACAUGCAAGUCGAGCGAGCGGCGGACGGGUGAGUAAUGUAUGGGGACUGCCCGAUAGAGGGGGAUAACUACUGGAAACGGUGGCUAAUACCGCAUAAUAUCGGAUAACACAUAUGGGAUUAGCUAGUAGGUGGGGAAAAGGCUCACCUAGGAGACGAUCUCUAGCUGGUCUGAGAGGAUGCUCAGCCAAACUGGAACGAAGACACGGCCCAGACUCCUACGGAGGAAGCAGUGGGGAAUAUUGCACAAUGGGCGCAAGCCUGAUGCAGCCAUGCCGCGUGUAUGAAGAAGGCCUUAGGGGUGUAAAGUACUUUCAGCGGGGAGGCGUUACCCGCAGAAGAAGCACCGGCUAACUCCGUGCCAGCAGCCGCGGUAAUAC